rnacentral:rRNA from 1 species
GCUCAAAUUUGAAAUCUGGCGUCCUCAGGGCGUCCGAGUUGUAAUCUAUAGAGGCGUUUUCCGUGCCGGACCGUGUCCAAGUUCCUUGGAACAGGAUAUCAAAGAGGGUGACAAUCCCGUACUUGACACGACGACCGGUGCUCUGUGAUACGUCUUCUACGAGUCGAGUUGUUUGGGAAUGCAGCUCAAAAUGGGUGGUGAGUUCCAUCUAAAGCUAAAUAUUGGCGAGAGACCGAUAGCGAACAAGUACCGUGAGGGAAAGAUGAAAAGCACUUUGGAAAGAGAGUUAAACAGUACGUGAAAUUGUUGAAAGGGAAACGAUUGAAGUCAGUCGUGACCGAGAGGCUCAGCCGGUUCUGCCGGUGUAUUCCCCUCGGUCGGGUCAACAUCAGUUUUGUCCGGUGGAUAAGGGCGGUAGGAAGGUGGCACCCUCGGGUGUGUUAUAGCCUGCCGUCGCAUACAUCGGGUGAGACUGAGGAACGCAGCUCGCCUUUAUGGCCGGGGUUCGCCCACGUCCGAGCUUAGGAUGUUGACAUAAUGGCUUUAAACGACCCGUCUUGAAACCACGGA